rnacentral:rRNA from 1 species
GACGAACGCUGGCGGCGUGCUUAACACAUGCAAGUCGAACGGAAAGGCCCUGCUUGCGGGGUACUCGAGUGGCGAACGGGUGAGUAACACGUGGGUGAUCUGCCCUGCACUUCGGGAUAAGCCUGGAGAACUGGGUCGAAUACCGGAGAGGAGCGCUUUUGAUUGUGGGGGUUGGAAAGUUUGUUCGGUGUAGGGUGGGCUCGCGGCCUAUCAGCUUGCUGGUGGGGGAAUGGGCUACCAAGGCGGCGGCGGGUAGCCGGCCCGGGAGGGUGGACGGCCACAUUGGGAAUGGGAUACGGCCCAGAAUCCUACGGGAGGCAGGAGGGGGGAAUAUUGCCACAUGGGGGCAAGCCUGGUGGCGCGACGCCGCGUGGGGGAUGACGGCCUUCGGGCUGUAAACCCGUUUCGGUAGGGACGAAGCUUUUUGUGACGGUACCUAGAUAAGAAGCACCGGCUAACUACGUG